UACGUAGGAAUCGAGCGUUGUCCGGAAUUACUGGGCGUAAAGAGCGCGUAGGCGGCUUGCCAAGUCUCAUGUGAAAUCUCCCAGCUCAACUGGGUGGGGUCAUGGGAUACUGGUAGGCUUGAGGGCAGCAUAGGAAAGUGGAAUUCCCGGAGUAGUGGUGAAAUGCGUAGAUACCGGGAGGAACACCAGUGGCGAAGGCGGCUUUCUGGACUGUUCCUGACGCUGAGGCGCGAAAGCAUGGGGAGCAAACCGG
rnacentral:rRNA from 1 species